rnacentral:rRNA from 1 species
GAUGAACGCUGGCGGCGUGCUUAACACAUGCAAGUCGAACGUGAGGGGGUAGCAAUAUCCCUGAAAGUGGCGCACGGGUGAGUAAUACGUAGGUAACCUGCCCUGGAGUGGGGGAUAACAGCUAGAAAUGGCUGCUAAUACCGCAUGAGGCCGAGACACUGGGAAGUGUUUUGGCGAAAACUCUGGUGCUUCAGGAGGGGCCUGCGGCCGAUUAGCUAGUUGGCGGGGUAAGAGCCCACCAAGGCAUUGAUCGGUAGCUGGUCUGAGAGGACGAUCAGCCACACGGGAACUGAGACACGGUCCCGACUCCUACGGGAGG